AGUGAACGCUGGCGGCAGGCCUAACACAUGCAAGUCGAACGGCAGCACAGUAAGAGCUUGCUCUUACGGGUGGCGAGUGGCGGACGGGUGAGGAAUACAUCGGAAUCUACUUUUUCGUGGGGGAUAACGUAGGGAAACUUACGCUAAUACCGCAUACGACCUACGGGUGAAAGCAGGGGAUCUUCGGACCUUGCGCGAUUGAAUGAGCCGAUGUCGGAUUAGCUAGUUGGCGGGGUAAGGGCCCACCAAGGCGACGAUCCGUAGCUGGUCUGAGAGGAUGAUCAGCCACACUGGAACUGAGACACGGUCCAGACUCCUACGGGAGGCAGCAGUGGGGAAUAUUGGACAAUGGGCGCAAGCCUGAUCCAGCCAUACCGCGUGGGUGAAGAAGGCCUUCGGGUUGUAAAGCCCUUUUGUUGGGAAAGAAGAGCAGCAGGUUAAUACCCCGCUGUUCUGACGGUACCCAAAGAAUAAGCACCGGCUAACUUCGUG
rnacentral:rRNA from 1 species